AGCGAACGCUGGCGGCAGGCCUAACACAUGCCAGUCGAACGAACCUUUCGGGGUUAGUGGCGGACGGGUGAGUAACACGUGGGAACGUGCCUUUAGGUUCGGAAUAACUCAGGGAAACUUGUGCUAAUACCGAAUGUGCCCUUCGGGGGAAAGAUUAAUCGCCUUUAGAGCGGCCCGCGUCUGAUUAGCUAGUUGGUUGAGGUAAUGGCUCACCAAGGCGACGAUCAGUAGCUGGUCUGAGAGGAUGAUCAGCCACAUUGGGACUGAGACACGGCCCAAACUCCUACGGGAGGCAGCAGUGGGGAAUCUUUCGAAAUGGGCUAAAGCCUGACGCAGCCAUGCCGCGUGAAUGAUGAAGGUCUUAGGAUGGUAAAAUUCUUUCACCGGGGACGAGAAUGACGGUACCCGAAGAAGAAGCCCCGGCUAACUUCGUG
rnacentral:rRNA from 1 species